CAGUAGCCGCGGUAAUACGAAGGGUGCAAGCGUUAAUCGGAAUUACUGGGCGUAAAGCGUGCGUAGGCGGUGAGUUAAGUCUGCUGUGAAAUCCCCGGGCUCAACCUGGGAAUGGCAGUGGAUACUGGCUCGCUAGAGUGUGUCAGAGGAUGGUGGAAUUCCCGGUGUAGCGGUGAAAUGCGUAGAGAUCGGGAGGAACAUCAGUGGCGAAGGCGGCCAUCUGGGACAACACUGACGCUGAGGCACGAAAGCGUGGGGAGCAAACAGGAUUAGAGACCCCGGUAGUCCCUGUCUCUUAUAC
rnacentral:rRNA from 1 species